rnacentral:rRNA from 1 species
UAGGGAAUCUUCCGCAAUGGACGCACGUCUGACGGAGCAACCCCGCGUGAGUGAAGAAGGAUUUCGGUUCGUAAAACUCUGUUUUUAGAGAAGAACAGCGCAUAGAGUAACUGUUAUGCGUGUGACGGUAUCUAACCAGAAAGCCACGGCUAACUACGUGCCAGCAGCCGCGGUAAUACGUAGGUGGCAAGCGUUGUCCGGAUUUAUUGGGCGUAAAGCGAGCGCAGGCGGUCAAUUAAGUCUGAUGUGAAAGCCCCCGGCUCAACCGGGGAGGGUCAUUGGAAACUGGUUGACUUGAGUGCAGAAGAGGAGAGUGGAAUUCCAUGUGUAGCGGUGAAAUGCGUAGAUAUAUGGAGGAACACCAGUGGCGAAAGCGGCUCUCUGGUCUGUAACUGACGCUGAGGCUCGAAAGCGUGGGGAGCGAACAGG